rnacentral:rRNA from 1 species
UUACCUACGGGAGGCUGCAGUGGGGAAUAUUGGACAAUGGGCGCAAGCCUGAUCCAGCCAUGCCGCGUGAGUGACGAAGGCCUUAGGGUUGUAAAGCUCUUUUGGCGGGGACGAUAAUGACGGUACCCGCAGAAUAAGCCCCGGCUAACUUCGUGCCAGCAGCCGCGGUAAUACGAAGGGGGCUAGCGUUGUUCGGAAUUACUGGGCGUAAAGCGCACGUAGGCGGAUUUGUUAGUCAGGGGUGAAAUCCCGGGGCUCAACCUCGGAACUGCCUUUGAUACUGCAAAUCUCGAGUCCGGAAGAGGUGAGUGGAAUUCCUAGUGUAGAGGUGAAAUUCGUAGAUAUUAGGAAGAACACCAGUGGCGAAGGCGGCUCACUGGUCCGGUACUGACGCUGAGGUGCGAAAGCGUGGGGAGCAAACAGGAUUAGAUACCCUUGUAGUCAAA